UCUAGCGUUCAUGCUGCCAUUUAAAGUUUUUCAAGUUAUUCUUCGAUGAUUUUUAUAUAUUGGACGGUGGGCUGGACGCGCAUAACAAGAGGUUUAUUAAAUGGUUGCGAUUACUGAACGGGGGAUGGAUGAUACAGGGGCAACUUUGACUACAAAAGUUGAAGAGGGUUCAACCAAAGGAAGUUGCCUUUUACAAGAAAAUGCGCAAGCUAUGUUUGAAUUGUUUUCUUCGUGGGCAAAACGUUGGAGCGAGGAGAUCGAGAUAGUAGAGGAGAAGCUAUUAAAUGAUUACAAUGAACUUUUGGGUAUUAAUGAGGAUAAAGGAUAACAUUUAGUAAGUAUUAAAAGGUGAUUAACUAG